rnacentral:rRNA from 1 species
ACGGGAGGCAGCAGUGGGGAAUUUUGCGCAAUGGGGGGAACCCUGACGCAGCAACGCCGCGUGCGGGAUGGAGGCCUUCGGGUUGUAAACCGCUUUCAGCAGGGAAGACAACGACGGUACCUGCAGAAGAAGCUCCGGCUAACUACGUGCCAGCAGCCGCGGUAAUACGUAGGGGGCGAGCGUUAUCCGGAUUCAUUGGGCGUAAAGCGCGCGUAGGCGGCUGCCUAAGCGGAGUUUCUAACCUUGGGGCUCAACCUCAAGCCGGACUCCGAACUGGGCGGCUCGAGUGCGGUAGGGGCAGGCGGAAUUCCAAGUGUAGCGGUGAAAUGCGCAGAUAUUUGGAGGAACACCGAUGGCGAAGGCAGCCUGCUGGGCCGCCACUGACGCUGAGGCGCGAAAGCUGGGGGAGCGAACAGGAUUAGAUACCCUGGUA